CAGGGCGAAACACUGAAUUAUUUAUCGCAGUCCGCAACGCACGACGUUCUGAAACAACUGAUUGCGGUGGCUUUUGACGUUUUUGACAGAUCGCUCCUAGGAAUGAACAUUUCGCAUGAACAUGCUGGCGAGUUUAGGGGAAAGUGGGGAUCGAAGCUCUCAGUACCUCUGUGGGUGAUUCAUUAUACACAGCAAAAAAUAUUGUAAUCCGCCUCGAUGUAAUUGGACCUAUGUAACAAAAAACCUAUGUAAUCACUUUUUUCAGAUGUACUAUCACACCGAUUUUGCGUAGAAUUACAUCUGGCUCAACAUUACACAGAAAAACCGUAACCAUUCUCGUUUCCGUUGUAUUUGUGUAAUAUUCACAUCAAAAUAAUGUGAAUAUUACACAUAAACAACUGCAACCAAGUGGUUGCGAUGACGCUGUAUAAAAUUACACAGAAUCAAUGCCAUAUCGCAUCCUCUUAUGAUGUGAUAUGACAUCUCGCAACACUGCCCUGAUUGUUGCGAUCGACCACGCGCAGACAAGCAAGCUGCCAUGUUUGUUUUUCGCGUUUUGCGGUCGUCGAGUCCGUCGGGUCGAGUGUUUUUCCUGAUUUUUCCAAUAAUUAUUGGAGUUACUCUUGCUCAGGUAAAUCCAACUAGAGUUUUGCGGUACCGACGACGCCUGCCGGAACCCUCUACUCGACCAAUAAUCGUCUAUUGAUGGCCAACCCGGAGAGAAAAUCAUUGUUAAGCUGCUCCUGUUUUGUCCUGGCCCUCGAAAUGGCCAAUUAUAACUUCUUCCGCGACAAUUUCAUGGUCAUUCGUAGAUUUCAUCGUGGAAAAAUACCCCGUAAAAACACCAUCGACGCCACGACAGAAGAAAUUGUUUUUCGUGAUAGUUGCCAAACCGGUCCCCUGAGCUGGUAGUGAUGGUCAUGAUCCAGCGCGCCAUAUGUACGUUGUCCAGCAGUACCGUUAGAUGCGCAAAGCAUUCCGCCGAGCAGAUUCUGCAGGAUGGUGAAUUUCACGUUGCUCCGGAAGACUACGAAGAGGUCGGCUUGAAUACCGAAAUGGCCUGAAUAAGGGUACCUACAGAGGAUUCCAUUCAUCGUCCUUAUCCAUUUGCAGUGGUACAGGAAGCGAUCUUCUCCGGCGAUGCCAACAUCAUCACCUCCUGGAGGUCCAGAAGUGCCACAUCAAGUGAUUGUCGCACUCCUCGCAGCUGUUGCAGCACCACCAGGACACGCCAGACGUCUACGUUGAGAUUGGAAUUUACCAGCUGGGAACCGUCGAUGUCUCGUGUCUGCCCAAGCCAAGGCCCAAGCGAUAUCAACAAAGUGCACAAACGGGGGUAAAACGUAUACGGAUCGACACCACGCUGCUGGGGUUUGAUAACACCUAGCUGCGCGGAAAUACGAGCUACAUUUUUAAAGACCAGUUUGAUUUCUGAUGGAACGAAUUCGGAUUUUACGGAUGGUGUAGUGAGAAGGAAGAGAGAACAUCAACAGGUACGAGUGCAAGGCGUUCAGAGGGAGUAAUGUCGAUUAUAGAGCCCGUCCUCAUGUGUCGUGACUGGAACCCUUUGUCACCAUGCAGCUUCCGCGGGAUUCCCCGUUGAAAUAGAGAUCCUGUUCUUCCACGUGUUGAACGCGGCCCUCUAACAUUUGGAAAUGCGUUCGCAAAAAAAGCGCAGAUGGCGAACAUCAGCAUUCUGCAAGAGAGCGAGGAGCGCACCUCCAUUAACGACAUUAAUUAUUGUUUUAACAUGCUGGCCGAGUAGGUGUAUGGUAACGAUGCCUGUAAUUUAAAGCUAAAACUAAUUAUGUAUUUUAUGUACAAUUAGAUGAAAUUGUGUAUUUUCGACAGUUUUAGAUCUCUUCGUCAUGGGGGUUUUUUGAAAGCUUUUGAGUUGGCCUCAAAUCCUUCCCAACCAAGCUGAAUUAUACGACCAAGUUUCAGGAAAUUUGGUCGACAAAAAACCCAUGACGAAGAGAACAAAUCUGGCGAUCAUACCCAUCUGCCAUCUUCACCCUAUGUAUAUUAUUGAAAAAAAAAAUAAAAUAAAUAUGAGUACCAUA